rnacentral:rRNA from 1 species
AGUGAACGCUGGCGGUAGGCCUAACACAUGCAAGUCGAACGGCAUCACAGGAGAGCUUGCUCUCUAGGUGGCGAUUGGCGGACGGGUGAGGAAUACAUCGGAAUCUGCCCAGUCGUGGGGGAUACCGUAGGGAAACUUACGCUAAUACCGCAUACGACCUUCGGGUGAAAGAGGGGGAUCGCAAGACCUCUCGCGAUUGGUUGCGCCGAUGUCGGAUUAGCUAGUUAGCGGGGUAAUGGCCCACCAAGGCGACGAUCCGUAGCUGGUCUGAGAGGAUGAUCAGCAACACUGGAACUGAGACACGGUCCAGACUCAUACGAGAGGCAGCAGUGGGGAAUAUUGGAAAAAGGGAGCAAGCAUGAUCCAGCCAUACCGCGUGGGUGAAGAAGGCCUUCGGGUUGUAAAGAACUUUUGUUGGGAAAGAAAUCUUUCAGGCUAAUACCCUGGGAGGAUGACGGUACCCAAAGAAUAAGCACCGGAUAACUUCGUG